AAUAGAUACCCCGGUAGUCCACGCCGUAAACGAUGUCGACUUGGAGGUUGUUCCCUUGAGGAGUGGCUUCCGGAGCUAACGCGUUAAGUCGACCGCCUGGGGAGUACGGCCGCAAGGUUAAAACUCAAAUGAAUUGACGGGGGCCCGCACAAGCGGUGGAGCGAUGUGGUUUAAUUCGAUGCAACGCGAAGAACCUUACCUACUCUUGACAUCCAGAGAACUUAGCAGAGAUGCUUUGGUGCCUUCGGGAACUCUGAGACAGGUGCUGCAUGGCUGUCGUCAGCUCGUGUUGUGAAAUGUUGGGUUAAGUCCCGCAACGAGCGCAACCCUUAUCCUUUGUUGCCAGCGGUUCGGCCGGGAACUCAAAGGAGACUGCCAGUGAUAAACUGGAGGAAGGUGGGGAUGACGUCAAGUCAUCAUGGCCCUUACGAGUAGGGCUACACACGUGCUACAAUGGCGUAUACAAAGAGAAGCGACCUCGCGAGAGCAAGCGGACCUCAUAAAGUACGUCGUAGUCCGGAUUGGAGU
rnacentral:rRNA from 1 species